GAUCAUGGCUCAGAUUGAACGCUGGCGGCAGGCCUAACACAUGCAAGUCGAACGGUAACAGGAAGAAGCUUGCUUCUUUGCUGACGAGUGGCGGACGGGUGAGUAAUGUCUGGGAAACUGCCUGAUGGAGGGGGAUAACUACUGGAAACGGUAGCUAAUACCGCAUAACGUCGCAAGACCAAAGAGGGGGACCUCGGCCGUCCUUCGUCCACUCGGAGUGCGCCCGACGAUGGGAGUUAGUCUAGUAAGGG
rnacentral:rRNA from 1 species